AUUGAACGCUGGCGGCAGGCCUAACACAUGCAAGUCGGACGGUAGCACAGAGGAGCUUGCUCCUCGGGUGACGAGUGGCGUACGGGUGAGUAAUGUCUGGGGAUCUGCCCGAUAGAGGGGGAUAACCACUGGAAACGGUGGCUAAUACCGCAUAACGUCGCAAGGCCAAAGAGGGGGACCUUCGGGCCUCUCACUAUCGGAUGAACCCAGAUGGGAUUAGCUAGUAGGCGGGGUAACGGCCCACCUAGGCGACGAUCCCUAGCUGGUCCGCGAGGAUGACGAGCCACACUGGAACUGAGACACGGUCGAGACUCCUACGGGAGGCAGCAGUGGGGAAUAUUGCACAAUGGGCGCAAGCCUGAUGCAGCCAUGCCGCGUGUAUGAAGAAGGCCUUCGGGUUGUAAAGUACUUUCAGCGGGGAGGAAGGCGAUGUGGUUAAUAACCGCAUUGAUUGACGUUACCCGCAGAAGAAGCACCGGCUAACUCCGUGCCAGCCGCCGCAGUAA
rnacentral:rRNA from 1 species